GCUCUUCUAAAGGUUGUCUCUGCGCCCUC
rnacentral:piRNA from 1 species